rnacentral:lncRNA from 1 species
UGAACCUUCAUUUCUUUGGAAAUCCUCUGCAAGCAACUACUUGAGACUGGGGUCCAAAGCUCUGCAGUGAUGAGGAAUGUUUAAGAAGCUUUGUGAAUACAGGAAGCCUCCUAUCAGACUCUCUGCCUGGCCUGAGAUAUCCAGUUAACACCUGCAAUUCAGAAUACCCUCUCACCCAGCAAUAAAGCAUCCAGCCUUUGCAUCUGUAACAACCUCCUCUGUAAUUUGUGCAUUCUAUGGUGAGUUUAAAUGCUGACUCUAUCAUUAUCUGAGUUUAUUACCAUUGCUAUUUGCAUAUGU